GACGAACGCUGGCGGCGUGCUUAACACAUGCAAGUCGAACGGUGAACCUCUUCGUGGGGGUUCAGUGGCGAACGGGUGAGUAACACGUGGGCAACCUGCUCCCGGCUCUGGGAUAACUCCAAGAAAUUGGGGCUAAUACCGGAUGUUCACCGCUUCCCGCAUGGGUGGUGGUGAAACGGGUUUCCGGCUGGGGAUGGGCCCGCGGCCUAUCAGCUUGUUGGUUGGGGAGUGGCCAUCCAAGGCGACGAAGGCGUGCCUGCCCGGGAGGGUGGACAGCGACCAUGGGACUGAGAGACGGAGCAGAGUCCAACGGGAGGCAGCAGUGGGGAAUAUUGCGCAACGGGCGGAAGCGUGACGCAGCGAUGCCGCGUGGGGGAUGACGGCCUUCGGGGUGUAAACCGCUUUCAGCAGGGACGAAGCGCAAGUGACGGUACCUGCAGAAGAAGCACCGGCUAACUACGUG
rnacentral:rRNA from 1 species